UACGAAGGGUGCAAGCGUUACUCGGAAUUACUGGGCGUAAAGCAUGCGUAGGCGGUUUGUUAAGUCCGUUGUGAAAGCCCUGGGCUCAACCUGGGAAUUGCAGUGGAUACUGGCGAGCUAGAGUGCGGUAGAGGAUGGUGGAAUUCCCGGUGUAGCGGUGAAAUGCGUAGAGAUCGGGAGGAACACCCGUGGCGAAGGCGGCCAUCUGGACCAGCACUGACGCUGAGGCACGAAAGCGUGGGGAGCAAACAGG
rnacentral:rRNA from 1 species